rnacentral:misc_RNA from 1 species
GAUGAAGAACGCAGCGAAAUGCGAUAAGUAAUGCGAAUUGCAGAAUCCGUGAGUCAUCGAAUCUUUGAACGCACAUUGCGCCCUCUGGUAUUCCGGGGGGCAUGCCUGUUCGAGCGUCAUUACAACCCUCAAGCUCAGCUUGGUGUUGGGCCCCGCCGCCCCGGCGGGCCCUAAAGUCAGUGGCGGUGCCGUCCGGCUCCGAGCGUAGUAAUUCUUCUCGCUCUGGAGGUCCGGUCGUGUGCUCGCCAGCAACCCCCAAUUUUUUUAAUGAUUGACCUCGGAUCAGGUAGGGAUACCCGCUGAACUUAAGCAUAUCAAUAAGCGGAGGA